UGGGGAAUUUUGGACAAUGGGCGAAAGCCUGAUCCAGCAAUGCCGCGUGAGUGAAGAAGGCCUUCGGGUUGUAAAGCUCUUUUGUCAGGGAAGAAACGGUGAGAGCUAAUAUCUUUUGCUAAUGACGGUACCUGAAGAAUAAGCACCGGCUAACUACGUGCCAGCAGCCGCGGUAAUACGUAGGGUGCAAGCGUUAAUCGGAAUUACUGGGCGUAAAGCGUGCGCAGGCGGUUUUGUAAGUCUGAUGUGAAAUCCCCGGGCUCAACCUGGGAAUUGCAUUGGAGACUGCAAGGCUAGAAUCUGGCAGAGGGGGGUAGAAUUCCACGUGUAGCAGUGAAAUGCGUAGAUAUGUGGAGGAACACCGAUGGCGAAGGCAGCCCCCUGGGUCAAGAUUGACGCU
rnacentral:rRNA from 1 species